CUGCCUUACCCAUUCAACAAUAUUGCAAUCCAAACUUAAAGAUUGCAGUUUAUUGAUAAGCCUUCUAUGUGCAACAGUGUCAAAAGCCUUACUGAAAUCUAGGUAAGCAAUGUCUACUGCACCACCCUGAUCUAUAAUUUUAGUUACCCAAUCAAAAAAAUGAAUAAGAUUAGUUUGGCAUGAUCUCCCUGAAGUAAACCCAUG